GAUGAACGCUGGCGGCGUGCCUAAUACAUGCAAGUCGAGCGAACAGACGAGAGUGCUUGCACUCUCUGACGUUAGCGGCGGACGGGUGAGUAACACGUGGGUAACCUACCUAUAAGACUGGGAUAACUUCGGGAAACCGGAGCUAAUACCGGAUAAUAUUUAGCUUCGCAUGAAGCAAUAGUGAAAGACGGUUCUGCUGUCACUUACAGAUGGACCCGCGGUGUAUUAGCUAGUUGGUGAGGUAACGGCUCACCAAGGCAACGAUACAUAGCCGACCUGAGAGGGUGAUCGGCCACACUGGGACUGGGACACGGCCCAGGCUCCUACGAGAGGCAGCAGUAGGGAAUCUUCCGCAGUGGACGAAAGUCUGACGGAGCAAUGCCGCGUGAGUGAAGAAGGUGUUCGGAUCGUAAAACUCUGUUGUAAGGGAAGAACAAGUACGUUAGUAACUGAACGUACCUUGACGGUACCUGAACAGAAAGCCACGGCUAACUACGUG
rnacentral:rRNA from 1 species